UACGAAGGGGGCUAGCGUUGCUCGGAAUUACUGGGCGUAAAGGGCGCGUAGGCGGAUAGUUUAGUCAGAGGUGAAAGCCCAGGGCUCAACCUUGGAAUUGCCUUUGAUACUGGCUAUCUUGAGUUCGGGAGAGGUGAGUGGAAUGCCGAGUGUAGAGGUGAAAUUCGUAGAUAUUCGGCGGAACACCAGUGGCGAAGGCGACUGACUGGACAUGUAUUGACGCUGAGGUGCGAAAGCGUGGGGAGCAAACAGG
rnacentral:rRNA from 1 species